rnacentral:rRNA from 1 species
GAUGAACGCUAGCGAUAGGCUUAACACAUGCAAGUCGAGGGACCGGCGCAGGGGUGCGUAACGCGUAUGCAACUUGCCUCAAAGAGGGGGAUAACCCGUCGAAAGACGGACUACUACCGCGUACUGUGAGAUAGGCAUGCGUCCCAUUAGUUAGUUGGUAAGGGAACGGCAAACCAAGGCAACGAUGGGUAGGGGAACGGAGAGGUUGAACCCCCACACUUGUACUGAGACACGGACCAGAAUCCUACGGGAGGCAGCAGUGAGGAAUAUUAGUCAAUGAGCGAGAGCCUGAACCAGCCGAGUCGCGGGAAGAAUGUCUGUCUAUGAAUUGUAAACUUCUUUUGUAGGGGAAUAUGUACCCUACGAAUAAGCAUCGGCUAACUCCGUGCCAGCAGUCGCGGUAAUAC